rnacentral:misc_RNA from 2 species
AAGGCACUGGGGGAGCCGAAGCUCCCCCCCAAAUUGGUACGUGCUUUGUUUUUAUUGUUAUAUCGAACCUGUUGUUUUUCUUGUCUGGUCCGUCCUGGUCGGAUACCUGCCGCCAGGAGGGCUCCCAAAUUCGGGGCCAAGAGCAAACGGAUUACUUUGGACGCUGAUGUCGUCAUGAUCACAAUUGAUCUAUCCAGUGCAGGUGCUGCCUCAGGGCAGUU